rnacentral:rRNA from 1 species
AGUCGAGCGAAGCGCUUGAAUCUGAUUCUUCGGAUGAUGAUUCUUGUGACUGAGCGGCGGACGGGUGAGUAACGCGUGGGCAACCUGCCUUAUACAGGGGGAUAACAGUUAGAAAUGACUGCUAAUACCGCAUAAGACCGCAGUACCGCAUGGUACAGCGGUAAAAACUCCGGUGGUGUAAGAUGGGCCCGCGUCUGAUUAGGUAGUUGGCGGGGUAACGGCCCACCAAGCCGACGAUCAGUAGCCGACCUGAGAGGGUGACCGGCCACAUUGGGACUGAGACACGGCCCAGACUCCUACGGGAGGCAGCAGUGGGGAAUAUUGCACAAUGGGGGAAACCCUGAUGCAGCGACGCCGCGUGAGCGAUGAAGUAUUUCGGUAUGUAAAGCUCUAUCAGCAGGGAAGAAAAUGACGGUACCUGACUAAGAAGCCCCGGCUAACUACGUGCCAGCAGCCGCGGUAAUACGUAGGGGGCAAGCGUUAUCCGGAUUUACUGGGUGUAAAGGGAGCGUAGACGGCUGUGCAAGCCAGAUGUGAAAGCCCGGGGCUCAACCCCGGGACUGCAUUUGGAACUGUGUGGCUGGAGUGUCGGAGAGGCAGGCGGAAUUCCUAGUGUAGCGGUGAAAUGCGUAGAUAUUAAAAGGAACACCAGUGGCGAAGGCGGCCUGCUGGACGAUGACUGACGUUGAGGCUCGAAAGCGUGGGGAGCCUAAAAGAUUAGAUACCCUGGUAGUCCACGCCGUAAA